rnacentral:rRNA from 1 species
AUUCCAGCUCCAAUAGCGUAUAUUAAAGUUGUUGCAGUUAAAAAGCUCGUAGUUGGAUUUCUGGCGUGCGACCCGGGUCGGCCCGAAAUGGGUCUGUACUAGGAGUCGCGCGCCAUCCUUGGGGCGAGGCGUACUACCAUUAACUUGGCGGUGCGUUGAGCCCCAUCGUUUACUGUGAACAAAUUAGAGUGUUUAAAGCAGGCAUAUGCCUUGAAUACAUUAGCAUGGAAUAAUAAGAUAGGACUUCGGUAAUAUUUUGUUGGUUCAUUAUUGAGGUAAUGAUUAAUAGGGAUAGUUGGGGGUAUUCAUAUUCAAUUGUCAGAGGUGAAAUUCUUGGAUUUAUGGAAGAUGAACAACUGCGAAAGCAUUUACCAAGGAUGUUUUCAUUG